UACGUAGGGUGCAAGCGUUGUCCGGAAUUAUUGGGCGUAAAGAGCUCGUAGGCGGUGUGUCACGUCGGCCGUGAAAACCUGCAGCUUAACUGUGGGCGUGCGGUCGAUACGGGCAGGCUGGAGUUCGGUAGGGGAGACUGGAAUUCCUGGUGUAGCGGUGAAAUGCGCAGAUAUCAGGAGGAACACCGGUGGCGAAGGCGGGUCUCUGGGCCGAUACUGACGCUGAGGAGCGAAAGCGUGGGGAGCGAACAGG
rnacentral:rRNA from 1 species